GAUGAACGCUGGCGGCGUGCCUAAUACAUGCAAGUCGAGCGAACAGACGAGGAGCUUGCUCCUCUGACGUUAGCGGCGGACGGGUGAGUAACACGUGGAUAACCUACCUAUAAGACUGGGAUAACUUCGGGAAACCGGAGCUAAUACCGGAUAAUAUAUUGAACCGCAUGGUUCAAUAGUGAAAGACGGUUUUGCUGUCACUUAUAGAUGGAUCCGCGCCGCAUUAGCUAGUUGGUAAGGUAACGGCUUAACAAGGCAACGAUGCGUAGCCGACCUGAGAGGGUGAUCGGCCACACUGGAACUGAGACACGGGCCAGACUCCUACGGGAGGCAGCAGUAGGGAAUCUUCCGCAAUGGGCGAAAGCCUGACGGAGCAACGCCGCGUGAGUGAUGAAGGUCUUCGGAUCGUAAAACUCUGUUAUUAGGGAAGAACAAAUGUGUAAGUAACUAUGCACGUCUUGACGGUACCUAAUCAGAAAGCCACGGCUAACUACGUG
rnacentral:rRNA from 1 species